rnacentral:rRNA from 1 species
UGGGGAAUUUUCCGCAAUGGGCGAAAGCCUGACGGAGCAAUACCGCGUGAGGGAAGAAACGCCUACUGGGUUGUAAACCUCUUUUUUCAGGGAGGAAAAAAAUGACUGUGUACCUGAAGAAUAAGCAUCGGCUAACUCCGUG